rnacentral:rRNA from 1 species
AGUGAACGCUGGCGGUAGGCCUAACACAUGCAAGUCGAACGGCAGCACAGUAAGAGCUUGCUCUUACGGGUGGCGAGUGGCGGACGGGUGAGGAAUACAUCGGAAUCUACUUUUUCGUGGGGGAUAACGUAGGGAAACUUACGCUAAUACCGCAUACGACCUACGGGUGAAAGCAGGGGAUCUUCGGACCUUGCGCGAUUGAAUGAGCCGAUGUCGGAUUAGCUAGUUGGCGGGGUAAAGGCCCACCAAGGCGACGAUCCGUAGCUGGUCUGAGAGGAUGAUCAGCCACACUGGAACUGAGACACGGUCCAGACUCCUACGGGAGGCAGCAGUGGGGAAUAUUGGACAAUGGGCGCAAGCCUGAUCCAGCCAUACCGCGUGGGUGAAGAAGGCCUUCGGGUUGCAAAGCCCUUUUGUUGGGAAAGAAAAGCAGCAGGUUAAUACCCCGCUGUUCUGACGGUACCCAAAGAAUAAGCACCGGCUAACUUCGU